AUCUACCUACGGGGGGCAGCAGUAGGGAAUUUUCGUCAAUGGGCGCAAGCCUGAACGAGCAAUGCCGCGUGAACGAGGAAGGUCUUCGGAUCGUAAAGUUCUGUUGAAGGGGAAAAAGAGCGGAGAGGGGAAAUGGUCUCCGAUUGAUAUUACCCUUCGAGGAAGUCACGGCUAACUACGUGCCAGCAGCCGCGGUAAUACGUAGGUGGCGAGCGUUAUCCGGAAUGAUUGGGCGUAAAGGGUGCGUAGGCGGCCUGCUAAGUCUGGAGUGAAAGAUACCGGACCAACCGGUA
rnacentral:rRNA from 1 species